rnacentral:rRNA from 1 species
AUACGGAGGAUCCGAGCGUUAUCCGGAUUUAUUGGGUUUAAAGGGUGCGCAGGCGGCCAUUUAAGUCAGCGGUUAAAUCGUGGGGCUCAACCCCAUUCUGCCGUUGAUACUGGGUGGCUUGAUUGCGGUCGAGGUUGGCGGAACUCGUUGUGUAGCGGUGAAAUGCAUAGAUAUGACGAAGAACACCGAUUGCGUAGGCAGCUGACCAGACCGCAAAUGACGCUCAUGCACGAAAGUGCGGGGAUCGAACAGGAUUAGAUACCCAGGUAGUCCGCACAGUAAACGAUGAAUACUUGUUUUCGGCGAUAUAAUGUCGGAGGCAAAGCGAAAGCGAUAAGUAUUCCACCUGGGGAGUACGCCGGCAACGGUGAAACUUAAAGGAAUUGACGGGG